ensembl:lncRNA
CUACUGUUGGAGCUGGUUAAUGGGAGGAAAUUAAUAAUUUGAAUUAUAUUUUCUCCCAGAACACUGUGGUUCAAUAAAGAAAAGAAAACAACAAAAAAACCCUUUUUUUAUUAAAUUUUCUAUUGAACUGAUUGGAAAGAGGUUAGCUAAGAGGUAUAACGUAGUUCAGUUGUAACUGAUCAGGUUUCAGGUUUUGUCAGGCUAUGUUUCCUUGUGAUCUUUCACCAGUUCAGAUUAUGUUUCCUGAUAAAUAUGUUGUGCAAUUUCUUGUUUGCUGUGUUUUAGCUAUUAGCCCUCUUCUCUCUCACCUAUGGGAAGCGGCUGUGCUUUUUAGUGGGGAAUUUUUAGAUGUAGAGGCAAGCAAUUUUUUCCACUGUAGGGCUGAACUGGGACCGAUCUCACUGCCACCAACAGGGCUUACUUUUGUGCCAUGGCCUUUGCAGUCUUAUGGAUUCAUUUCACACUGUUUGCUACUCCUCAGUUGCAGCAAGGAGCCUCCUGCCACCAUCCCCACCAGCAGGUAGCACAGAAGUGCCCUGCCCUGCUUUCUCCCAGUGAGAAGGGAGAUAGGGAGAUGUGAGAAGACAACUCCCUUUCUGUUCACACAUUUAUUCACAGCUACUGUUACCACAGACAUCUUCAUUUCUCAUCUUAUGAGUCUGCAGGACUUGGCACUGGAACAAUGUGUCACCAGCUUCUAAAAUCUGAGAAGUGGAGACAAGAAACUGGGAGCAGCUAACUCUGCACUGCCAUGCAAAUGGAUACGUCAUGGGCAGAGAUGACCCAGCUUUGAUAUGUCUUCCAAUUCUAUAAAGUGAGCAUAAAAAGGUAUUACCACAGACUAGUUCAGGACCAUGUUCUUAAUGCGUUAUUUUUUUGUUGUUGCCUGUUUUUUUGUUGCACUAUGAAGAACCAGGACAAAUUUUCUGUCAUGGCCACUACAUUUUUUGUUGUUUAUCUCCUCUGUAUUUGCUAUGAUUUUGGGUUAUAUGCUUUAUCCAACAGUUUGGCAACUGCAGUUACAACAGUCUAACAGGUUCAAGGUAGGUCUUAAAUGUAUUCAUAAGUGAAAGAUAAUUAAUACUUUCUAUAUUUUACAUGGUUAGAUCAAUUUGUUUUUACAGUUCAUUACCAUUACUGACUUUUUAAGAAUGGCUUCACACCAGUCUGAGGCUCCUCAGCAAAGUCAGUGUUCAAAAACACCACCACCUGAGGAAAGCAAUCUGAAAAGAAAGAGAUUGGUCCCUCAUUACUGGAGUGAACAUCUUCAUCAUUACUUCUGUAAGAUUUCUGAUUGACUUACUUGGGAUUCUAAGCUUCUAUUUCUGAAGGUGACCUAUGCAGUUCAUGCCUUCCAGAAGGAGUUAAGUAUCUCAUUCUUUUCAGAUUUUUUUUUUUUUUUUUUGCUAUAUGCCUGUCUUUAGAUACAUAAACAUCUUUGUAAAUCUGGUCCUAGACAUCUACACUGUUUUAGAAAAAAGAAUAUUGUGUACUUAACCAAGUAUCUAGAGUGACUGAAUAUUAAACUUGACUUCAUCAUAAAAAGUUGGACUGCAAUAAAAGACAAAAAUUAAAACAGAUACUUUAUUGCCUGUAUUACUGCAGAAAUUCCUUUUUAAAAAUUCAGGCAAAAUUAUUUGGAAGGAAAAUCUCCUUAAGGACGCAUUUCUAAGUGAAAAAUCUCUCUAUCCCUUUAUGAAUGAAAUCAAGCACGAGGCAGGAGGCUGGCACGACUGAGCAGUGACACACUGGUGAACCUGAAGGAUAAAAAGGAAACGCAUAAGUGGUAAAAGCUGUGAUGUGUGAUCUGGAAAGAGUACAGGGCACACCGUUCGGAAGUACAGAGUUGGGAUGAGGAAAGCCAAAACACAGAUGGAAUUGAACUUAGCAAGAAUUGUGAAAAAUAACAAGGAUUCUACAGGCACAUUCGUCAGAACAGAAAGCCAAGGAGAGUCUACUUACUUUGAUAAAUGAGAAGGGAGAAAUGGCAACAAUGGACAGAGAGAAGGCUGAGGCACUGAACAAAUUUUUUGCCUUGGUCUUCACUGACUGUCAAGCUACCCACUUCUCUUACAUCCCUGAACCUCUAGGUGGGAGCUGGAGAAGUGUAAUCACUCAUACUGUAAAGGAAAAGCAAGACUGAAACCACCUGACGUGAAUGAAUAUGCACAAGUUCAUGGGGCCAGAAGACAUGCACCUCAGGAUCCUGAAUGGACUGACUGAUACGGUUGCCAAGCUGCUCUCAAUCAUCUCUGAAAAGUCAUGGCUGCUAGGUGAAGUCCCCAUUGUCAGGAAAAGAGGAAAUAUCACUCUCAUUUUUAAGGAAGAUAGAAAAGAAGACUCAAGAAACUACAGGCCAAUGAGCCCCAUGUCUGUGCCUGGAAAGAUCAUGGAGCAGAUAUUUCUGGACGAGAUGCUAAGGCGCAAGUGAGACAAAGAGGUGAACUGAGAAAGCCAGCAUGGAUUCACCAAGGGUAGAUCAUGCCUGACCAACGCAGUAGCCUUUAAGGAUGGAGUGACACCAUCAGUAGACAAAGGAAGAACAACUGGUUUCACAUACCUGGACUUCUGCAAAGCCUUUAAUAUGGUCCUGCACCACAUUCUUACCUCUAAAUUGGAGAGAGAUUGAUUUCAAGGGUGGACUAUUAUGUGGAUGCAAAAUUGGUUGCAUGAUGGAAGUCAAAGAGUUGUUAUCAAUGGAUAUCAGGUGAAGGCCAGUGAUGGAUGGUACUCCACAGAGGACUAUCUUGGGACUGGUGCCCUUUAAUGUCUAUAUCAAUGUUCUGGACAGUGGGUUGAGCAUCCCCUUAGUAACUAUGCAGACCAUACAAAGCUGAAUGGUGCACUAGAUAUAACUUAAGGAACGGAUGCUAUCCAGAAGGACCUGGACAAGCUUGCAGAGUGGACCCACAUGAACCAGAUGAUACAACCCAAACAAAGCCAUUCUGAAAAGCAAAUGCUAUAUUCAAGCAUGAGUUAAAAGGAAGUCAAUCACAAAUACUUUUUAUCUUAAAGAAAAAUUGUUCUUUAAACGUAAUAGACACCAGGAACUCAUUCAAUACCUGAGCAGACAAAUGAAUUGAACUUCCAUUUUACAGUUAAACAGGUGUAAUAGCUUAUUCUUUUCAAAACACCAACCUAUCUACCUUAAACAGGUUUCAUGUCUAGAUGAAAAAAAAGCAUGGUGGUAUGUAGAUCACAUGGAAGUAAACAGAUCCAGAACAGACCAGCUAUCCCAACAGUGUGAAAUGAAUCUUUCAUUUGUAUUGCAGGAAAACUGGAGGACUCAGUUUUUUCAAAAGUUGCCAACCUCUCAUUUUCAACAUGGUAGCUGAAAGUGAUUUCUUUGCUAUAGCUUUUCCUUAGGGAAAUCUGAAGUGAUGUGUGUGAGCACAGAGCUUGGAAAUUGUGCCUGAUGCUCAGCUCUUUAAUUCACAUUGGCUCUCUGUGAUGUAGGCAGCCUUCCCCAGUUCUUGCACCUCAACAAGUAAACAAAGGUAAAGGAAAAAUUGUAACUGACAAGGAGUUAUAAGAAGAGCCGAUGAAAAGCAAACAUGCAUAAAAAAAUACCCUUUGUGAAAUGUUCCGAAGGUCACUAAUGAAAGCACAAUUGAGGAAAAAAAUUACAGGUUUUUUUUUUUUUUUUUUUUAAUCUUUGGCCUUGUUCCUUGAACCAUGAAUAAAUCCACUUGGAGUGUUUUAGAAGCCAUUAUUAUGCUAUAGUCAAACACAGCAUAUCAAAAUAUUCCUAACUUUUCACAUUAGACAGUACUACAGGUUCUUGCUGUUCAAAAAGGAAAUGUUCUGUGAAUUAUUAUUUGUACUGCUUCUGGGGUUAAAGAUGAGCAUUGUAGAUUCCUUAACAGAACCUGAACACUACACUGUUAUAUAAAUAUUUUAGUCAUGAUGAACAAACGUUUCAAUGUUUCUUGAAUGUUUUCAAAGGUUCCAAACGUUAUUUCCACUUGCGUGGAAGAAGCAGACUGCACAUUGUUUGAUGCCUGUAAUGCAGACACAGACAAUGGAUUUUUCCUGUGCAGUUUCAAGGCUUAGGAAGACAUCUGCACAGCUGGCACAGGACACUCCAACAUUUAAGAAGACCUUCCAUUUAGGUCUUGAGGAAGUGAGUCCAUUCUUCAGCAUGCUGCUGGCCUCACAUGUGGUGACAAGCACAGAUUUGUUUGGUGCUCUGAGGAGAUCUUCAGAACCAGGUUUCCCUGGCAUGGCACCCAGGGGUCUGCCAGAUGGUUUUGAGACAAUGGGGAAACUCAGCAAAAUAAGUCAAAUGAGACCAGCACAACAAAAUAAAUCUUCAUAUAAACAUAGCUAUAUUGCCUCUGUAUCUGAACACAAACAUUUAGAACCAGUUCCUGUGUUUCUGGCAACCUCCACACUUAGCCUUGUGGCAUGACUCAAGCUACCUCUGAAGCAAAACUGAAGGAUAUUAGCAUCAGGAUGAUGAAAACACUGUGUUAAAGGGAGGGAUGAGGUGUCUGAGGUGCCAACAGUGCUGGGAAAUAACCUCUGCUUAUCCUUGUUGUCGAUGGCAGAGAUGGCUGGAGGCCUCAGCCUUCAGGGGCUGAGGGAAGUGUAGUUUUCUUAUUUUAAUUAAGCAUAUCUUAAAAGACUACAUCUGGUUUUCUGACCAUGAUGGAAAGUAGCUGAAUUUACACUUUUGUAACUACUGGGUUUAAUUUAUACUGGAUGUCAAGAAUUUAUGAGAGGAAAAAUCUGAUAGAUAAAACAGAAAUCAAAGACUUGAUAAGUCUGUGUUAAAGUCUGCAAACCAGAAGGGAGCUUCUUUUUCUUGUUUUGGAAAACUACUUAGGAAUUUUAUGGGAUGAUGAGUCAACAUGGAAUUAGAAUCCAUCAGAAAAUGAUGAGUCCCAAUGCCUCUCUGGCUCUAUCUAUGAAUGAGAGCUUGCAAGUUCUUCUGUACAGAGCAAAAGGCAGCCAGAAAGAGAAGCAGGAGCAUGAUGCCAGAAACUGCACCCAAACCACGGAACUUCCUCCAGAGAAACCUUUCUCAGUGAGCCAUAUCUGAACCUGGAAAGACAGGAGACAGAUCACUCCAUGCUUCAUGUGUCAGGAGCCAGCCAAUAUCCUGAGGAUAAUAAAGGAAAGUCUUUAAGCAGCCAACAGUAUCUCUCCAGGGCUCAACCAGAUAAACCGGGCAAGCAUGCGCUGGUCCUGCUCCAAUAACUGGGUGUUAUGGAGUAUGGUAGGAACACCACAUCCUUAGUUUCCCCAUUCCCUCCUGUCCCACAUGGAUGGGGUCUGGCUCAGGCCAAUCGUUAGCUCAGAGAAGUUUCAUCCUGGCCAGGUCUCAGCUUGGUCUCUGUUAUCAAGUCAGCCAAGCUUGCAACUUCUUAUGUAGGCAAUAAAUGUGGAAGUGGUCAUUUACAGCAUUACUGAAGAAUGGAAAAUAGAGUGAUACCUGUACUUGGCUAUCAAACCAAAGUGUAUCAGCCAAAAAGCAUCAUGUUUUGAAGUACAUGAAUGUAGCCUCCUGAAAUCCAAAACUUCUGCAGAUUAUUCUUUGACAUAUACCUUGAGAUUUUGUUUACUAUUGUGUGCACUAAGGGAAAACUAAAAUCAGUUAAAGCUAUUUUCUUGGCUUCCUUCCAAAUGUGUUAACUUUGUGCUGAGUCGCAUAUUGUUAAAAUUUCUUUAACCAUAAAGGCAUCACAGAAACCUUCGUCUCUCCACACAGCAGAGAGCUUCGAAAGGCCAGAUCUUCAUGUCUAUUCCUAGGACGAUUAUUUGUAUCCACAAACACAGUGACAAAGCAGUGGCAGAGAGCUGGUGCUGCUCUCCAAAAGAUGUUUGUAAGAUUCCCACUCCUCACUUCAGAGAAGAGUCAGUUCUGAUUCAGUGUCAGAUCUCAGUACUUGAAUACUACCAUCAAUAUCACACAGAUUUUUGGCUUACAUUCUUGUAGUGUAGACUGACUUCAUCUGUUUGACAUUUAAGCUACAUUUUAUAGCAUUUAUCCUAAUCUAAGCAUGCUUGCAGUUGCCCAUCCAACUAUUUACCCAAUGAGAACAUUGCCUUUGAGCAGGAUAAAUUUGCCAAAAUCUAAGGUGACCCUCCUAGCACAAGUGUACAAUUUAUUAAGGCUGACUUAAGGAAAAAAAUUAAAUCUGUUUUUGUUACAAACCAAAACACACAAUGACAUCAACAAAUGUAGUAAAGCAAAGAAAUCCUCAAGGGAAGCGCUGUUACAAAUGGAAUUGAUUUCUCCAACGUGGAACUCUUUUCUCUGGUACCCAACAUGAUGUUUUCCUGGAAAGGUGUCUUUUAACAGUCAUGUAAGAAAUCUAGUUUUUGAGAUCAAUUUAAAAAUCG